rnacentral:rRNA from 1 species
AGCUCCAAUAGCGUAUAUUAAAGUUGUUGCAGUUAAAAAGCUCGUAGUUGGAUCUCGGAUCCCGGCUCGCGGUCCACCUCACGGUGGUUACUGCCUGUCCGGAUCUACCUCCCGGUUUUCCCUUGGUGCUCUUGACUGAGUGUCUCGGGUGGCCGGAACGUUUACUUUGAAAAAAUUAGAGUGUUCAAAGCAGGCGCUUCGCCUGAAUAAUGGUGCAUGGAAUAAUGGAAUAGGACCUCGGUUCUAUUUUGUUGGUUUUCGGAACUUGAGGUAAUGAUUAAGAGGGACAGACGGGGGCAUUCGUAUUACGGUGUUAGAGGUGAAAUUCUUGGAUCGCCGUAAGACGAACUACUGCGAAAGCAUUUGCCAAGAAUGUUUUCA